ACAGCUCAGGCAGGAGCAGUCCCCAACCCAAUCUACAGGCACUGGGAACUUGCAAGCAGCCAGGGAACGCUGAAAAUAGCACGUCUUUUUCUUUCUUUGUGUUCAAAACUAUUUUCUUUCUUCACCAGAUUUUGUUUUCCUCCCCCCGCUGCAGUUGUUUCCCAUUAGUAACUCGAUCUCUCAGAGCACCAUGCUCUUUCACGGGAUCUCCGGAGGCCACAUCCAAGGCAUCAUGGAGGAGAUGGAGCGCAGAUCCAAGACUGAGGCCCGUCUGGCCAAAGGCGCCCAGCUCAACGGCCGCGACGCGGCGUCUCCCCGGCGAGGAUCCGCAGCUCCGAGGGCAAGCUGGGCAUAAGCAAUAGGAGGACGGCGCGCUGCCGAGGCGUCCGAGCCAAGCAGGAGCCCAGGUGGCCUUAGUCUCUGGGCCUGAUGACCGGACCUGUGGAGUAGAUUCCGACGCGACUGGGUCAUUUCCAGUUCUCUAGACGCUCGGGGCUUGGGACCCCUAACCGAGAGAAUCUCAGGGUUUCUGGCAUCCCGACUCAGUCCCUCUAAGGAGACAGCACUACGUUUAGCGCCAGGACCCGGCGGGUGUCAUGUGUAGGGGGAAAUCAAAUAAAACAUACGGAGGAGCGCGGCACCCAGUCGAAACGCAUGAACUUUAUAACCAACCCUUAAACAAGCUAAUCAACCACCACUGUUUCUACUAUCCAUAAUAAUAAAGUCAUGUCCUCUUAAUAAAGAAAACUAAUUACUUA
rnacentral:lncRNA from 1 species